rnacentral:lncRNA from 1 species
CCAUAACUCCUGUGUGGUCUUGAUCUCUGCUGUAGUUGGAUUCCAGAACUAGCUUCUCCCCAGCUGUUAUCUGGAUAGAUCCUGGUUCAGGAUAACAGGUGGACAUUCCUACAAUGUAACCUGCCUCAUUUCCCGCCUCUUUUCCUUCUCCAUAAGUUGGUAGUGAAGCACAUAUAACACGUCCAUCCUGAUCAGAAUAAAAUCUUAAAUAACCUUCAUCUUAAACAUUUAACACUUGAGCACAGUAUUACAUAAGCAAUGACAUUGAGAGAGGUGCGUGAGGGGGUAAUACAGAAAGCAGUCCAAGAAAAUGAAACUCUAAACAACAAUUUUGGACAGCAACACAACUUAAAUGGAGACUGGAAGGUGAAACUGAUGGUAGGCCAGGACCAAGAUAUAUGUUGGGUUGACAACUUAUUAUCGCAGACCUUGGAAGUGAUCCUUUUUAGUACACAGGGGCAUAAAGGAACCUUCUUGGGAAAGACAUUAAGUUACAAGCUCUUUAAAAGGCUCAAUCGGCAAAUAAAGUGAAAUGCAAGUAACAGUCGUUCAAAUAAGUCUAGAACCUAUGAAUUGGGAAAGACAGAGCCAGAGGAUAUCAGAAUCACUGCACUGUCUACUCCGCAAUAUAUAUAGUCGGCCUGGUCAGUCUUCAAACGAUCUCACUUUGUAAAAUGUACUAAAAGUUAGAGGAGAGGGUCACAACGGUUCUAGGCUGAUUCACGCAACUAAAAGUAAUCAAAAAUUUAUGUAAAGUGCAAAAAAAUUAAAAAGGAUUCUGAUAAUAGCAAGUGAAAAAAAGAAGAUCCCAUAUCAAGAUGAGAGGACGUCACUACAAAAUUGAAGUUCAAGGGUGGAAGUCACCUUCCCAUACAGAGUCGAGCCAAUUCCUCCAGUAUGCUGGUGGGCAACACCAUAGAUGAGAUAGCCAGCAGUUGGCAUGGUAAGGUUUGUCCUUUUGACAUCAACACACCCAUUACCAGUAGUAUCAGCAGAGCUGCAAGACUUGAUUUCAUACUCAACCUGUAGCAAAAACAUUAUUAGUAAUUCUCAAUGAAACAGAGCGUGCAGUUCUACUGGGAAAAACAAAAAUGUUUUCGUUGAAACCACUCUUUAGUUUUCUGAAACUUACGAAAAGUGUGCCCAGGAAUGUUCAUUUCAUAUGUGUUCAGUACCAAUUCGGUCAAAGUAAUCUAACCAUAGAUUCAGCAAAUACAACGUUUUAUUAAAAGGCAUAACAAAUGCAGCAUCAUCAUCACAAAAAUGUGUGUAUACAAUGGAGUGUGACACAGAAUCCAAGAUCCCUAUACCUCACACUAAGGCUGCUCCGAGUAUGCAAAAAUAUAUACUCUCAAAAGGGUAGGCCAGUUAUGCAUGCUGGUAUAUGUGCUUAUGACUGGGGUUUCGCUUUCAGAGUGUACAUUAAGUUUUUAUAUAUCAAUAAAUAUGCAUCUACUUGCAUGUAUCAGGAACUUCACUCCAGUGAAAUUAAUUUAGUGAAUUCAGAUGUGACACAGCACUAUUGCAACUAUACUGUACCCUACUGGAGGAUUUCCAAGAGUAGCAGAUAUUCUGUCAGUUCACCAUGCUCUGCUGUGCGUUUAAAGAGAAUUCAGCUUAUUAUCAACUGUAUUUCCCACUGUAAUGCUUUUCUCAAACAAGAAGAAAGGAUGAUUGAUAUAGAACCUUGUGUCUAACCAUUGUCAUGGUUGCCGAGGUGUCUCCUUAUAGCAUAGUACCGGUAUUCUUAAAUAAUAGGAAGCAAGAAUAGCAGAACAAAACGUAAAUGCCUGAUUCAAUUUUCAUGUAAUGUCAAAACACCUACUACAGAAGUCCUUACCUGGCAACCAUUCUCUGGACCAAAUCCUGUUGAACCAUUUAGCCUUUUCCCAGUAUCAGUGACAUCAAAUAUAAAGAUUUUAACAGGAAUAAUGUCACUAUCCCAUUCAACCCAUUCCACAGUGUAUCGCAGGUAAAGACUCCUCCUGGUACCCUGGAAACCUUGUUUGACCUUGCAUUGUGUAUAGUCAUAGCAACAAAGUAAGCCUCCUUUAUAGUCUGGUCUCAAAGGGCGUCCCCAUUCACUAACUGUGAUGUUGUAUAGAUCACACCUGCAUUCAGUGCAUCCCAACCUAUCUUCAGCACCCCGUGUAUCGAUUGCAUGGACAUUAAGCAACCAUCUCUCCUCAUACCCAACAGGAAUUUCAGCUGGAUUGCCAAUUUCUAUUGCAUAGGGAUCAGGAAUGUGCGUAGCUGUUUUUCGUGUUUCAGAUCCCAGGCCAAAAUACUGACUAAGAAUACCUUUCUGGCAUAUUCCACUGUUACGUGCAGAAAUGCGAUCUGAUUCCUUAAACUUCUGCUCAUGGCUACUACUCUCAACCACAUCUAGCCGUUGAUAGUAUCUCGAAACAAGCCAGUGGUGAAGAUAAGUUUCGUGAAGAGGGACAGGAUUCCCAGAAUCAUCAAUCACUUCAGCAUUGAAACUCUUGAUUGCAAUAUGACCUUUUGGGAACUCAACAUUGCGAUAGAAUCUAUUCUCCACAGAUCCUGGCCCCAACACAAAUUUUGGUGAUAGGAAAGUGGCAGAUUUGAUCUUAUUACCACCUUUCAUAGAUGCUCGUGUAUAAGAUAGAUUAGAUGCCAGUAUUAGUAUUGCAAACAAAGGCAAGCAGGCUCGAAAACAAUGUACCAUAUUGCCUGUCAGUUUCAAUAUCUCAGGUUAAGCUAUAAAUCCUUCACAAAACCAAGCACAGUAUAAUUGAAUUGAAACCAGCAAACUAAGACGGUAAGCACAAGAACAUUGAGACGUUAAAAUUGAAAUUAAUAGCGAACUGCAACACAUGAUGAGGAAAGUUUCAAGUUUUUAACCUUAUCUUCUCAAAUGCUUUUUUGGUACAUGAUUGGAAUGGAUCAUAACUAUGCGGCUAGACAAUUUUUUAUCCAUCUCGUGCCAAAUUCAAGACGGAGAUGGAAAAUUAGUGCUUUAUACAAGUUGAUUUGACUGGGAAAAAAAAUUGGCACCGGGAAAUGUUGUGCUAAAAAUCCAAUUAUUUUGGAAAAGAACAAUUUUAAUCCUCCAAGCACAUAAACAAAGGAUUGAUUAUAAAAGUGUUCCAAUCAUCCGCAAACCAAUAAGCCUGACACCAUGAUUGAAACCUUCCUUGUCAAUUCACAACAAGCAGGAUGUUUGUUCAAAAUCUUUGAUCAAAUCACCAAUCACAUGCACUGUCAGAAAUAUGCACAGAUAGAACUGUGGAGAGAAACCCUCAAGAACCAGCAUGAUAACAGUUAAGGCAGAGAUUACACGGUAAAAGAACAUUCAAUUUAUGCUAUGAUUAUUAUGCUUUAAUUUGAUUUGCUCACAAUGUUUUUUUUUUUAGAAAAGCCUUAAUUUGUGAUUCUGAAUUGUAAUGUUCGUGGGUAUAGGAAACAGCCUUACGUGAAGAUCACUAUUAAUCGACUCCACUAUAAUUAUACAUUUUUGUUUCUUUCAAGCCCAAAUACCCAAAAUUGAGGUUAAAAUUUUAACAGGACAUAUUUGAACAGCAAAUUUCAGAAAAGAAAAAAGGUCUAAAAUGGGCACAGUAUCAUAUUCACACAUGGUUUCCAUAUGAAGGUUAAAAUUUACUCGUAACACAGUAUGAGACAAAUGACAAAAACAAAACGAAGCUAUUGUCAAUAUCCAGCUAUCUCACUUUAAACUUUUGAAAUCCAAAUCAUACUCAUCAAUCAAAUGUCUUGUACAAAAAGAAAUCAAAGUAUCCUAACAUGUUUUCUGCUAAAUUUAGAAAGGAAAAAAAAUCAUGACUAAAAUGGAACAAAUACUAAAAAAAGGAUAUAUUUAUACAUCAUUAAGCAGAAAAAAAGGAAAGAAAGGAGCAUAUACCCAGAUACCAGAAGUCAAUUGGCCAAAAGUUUGAAUUUUAAUCAGUCCCUUGCCUUUUGAAUUUAUACACCAGUAAGACAAUGUUCUUUAUCGGCUCUUUUCUGCUGGGUAAGUGGCAAAGAUUUUAAAUGUAUUCUUCCCAAGAAAGAGAGAAUAAUACAAAGAAGGUCAGCCCGACAGACAGUCGUUUGUUCAAGUAAAACGUGUAAGAAUCGCAACUUGGCUGAUAAAGAGAGAGUGAGAUGUUGGUGUACGGGAAUGUGCCACGUGUGUGGGUGUCCUCCAGACUUUGAAUCAUCCGUAUUUAUUGUACUAGAUUCUGGACAACCUAAGCCAUGUUCAUAAGGAUGGCCUCAGCCAUGACGGCCACCAUGGCAUUCCCUAUUUGUUUUUGGUUUUACUCCAAAAUUAUAUUGAAAUUGCCUCGAUGACUUUAUAAAAUGAAGUAAUUUUGACACAAAAAAAAAUAAAAGAAAAAAAAUGAUUAAUUCUACAUAGAUCUUUGUUAUCUACUCAUCUGUCUUAUAAUUAUUGAUCUUUAUUGAUUUUAAAAAGUUAAUAAAAAAUAAUUUUGAUCACUUUUUAUUAGUUUUAUCCGUUUAAUUUUUUUUUAAAGAAUAUGCUUUAGGUAAAUUAAAGUUUAAUUUUCUUGUAAUUCAUUUUAUAAAAAAAAAUAUCUUGUAUAAAAUUCAAGAAAAUAUAUUAAAAAAAACAUGUUAUUUUCAUAUUAAAAACUCUACAAUGGAGUUUCAUCCAUAUAUUAAUAUAGUAGAGAGAAAAUAGUAAUUCAAAACUUUCAAAUACCAAGAAUAUAUUUAUAGAAAAACAUUUAAAAUGUUUAAUUCUAUUUAAUUUUUAUUUAUCAAAAGAGUAUUAUAAUCCAUUUUAUAUAAUAAAAAUUAGACAAAUCUAUUAAUCCCUAAUAGAAAAAUUAUUUCAUUAAAUAGAAAAACUAGAUAAGGUUAAUAAUAUUGAAUAUAAAAAUAAAAUUAACAAAAUUUAUGGGCGAGAAAAAGAAAUAAUAAUUAAUUUAGUAAUAUAUAUAGAUAGAUUUUAGUUGCAUUACAAAUUUAAGAGUGGGUAUAAGCAUAGUUUUGAAAUAUGAGAUCUGGUCGACUCGGGGCUGAAAUCGAGCCGGGCUGUAGAAAAAAAAAAAAACUCGAUGUGAUUCGAUUGACCUGCCAAGACCCAGCCGCAAACACAUUGACUUUUUUUUUAUUAUUUAUUAAAACAACGUUGUGUUGAUUUUUUUUUAAAAAAUUGAUCCGACUAACUCGAUGAUCUCGGUCAAAAUCCGGAACCCGGUUUUAGACUGGACUGGGUCUUAAAACAAUAGGUAUAAGCCAGUGACAAUUUUGUGGAGUGUUGCAUCGGUGACAUAGCAUGUCCCCGGCGAUGCCAUAGUGCAAGGUUGAUUUGUUAUUGGAGGGCAAGUAUGGGUUUAGAGGUUAGUAAGUAAUUUCACAUUUUUAGCGAAGUGUAAUUACUAAACGGAUCUUGUAGAAAUUCUUCUUCUUCGUAGUGCUUGCCCCAACAGCUCAAUCCAACUUUAGUUCAUUUACAUAUGCAGUGGCAUCACAGAAAGCAACCCUACUAUCUGAAUGUCUAACAAUGGUGCUUGGAAUUGCGUCACGGCAAUAUGACUAAUUUCCAACAACUCAGACAAAUUAUUUAUGGUUGAAUCUACAAGGAUCCCUUAAAGAAAUUAGAAGCUCAAAAUAAUGCUUCAUACAGUUGAAAUGUUUUCACCCGUGUAUAAAGCAGGCUAAGACAUGUAUUAUACAUAUAUCGAGAUGCUAAUGCCAUUACAUAGAUCAUGGAAAAAGGAUUACAACUCUAUGCAAUAAUUGGUUGGUAGCCUUCUUCCCUUCCCUUCUUCAUCCGAGAAAGGAGGCCGACAGCAAUGGCCAUUGCCAGUCCAAACAGAGCUACUAUUGCUACAGCAGGUGUGAUACUUUGAUGUUUUAUGUAUCUGCAAGAACCGAGAAACAUUUACAGUCUAACAAUUCGCAUAUAAAUGUAGAAGAUGCAUUCAUCUACAUUUUGCAUAAGAUUAGCAGAAACCAUUAAAAAUUGAAUGACAACUUACAUGAAUUGGAGAAUGCAAGAAAUUUGAGGGAUUUGGUGUUCUGUCUGCUACCAGAAUGUAGAAAAGCCCCAUAACACCUGUGUGCUUUUGAGUACUGUCGUAGUUAGAUUCAAGAAGUAGAUUCUCCCCAGCUGUUAUCUGGAUAGAGCCUGGUUCAGGAUAACAGGUGGACAUUCCUACUAUGUAACCUGCCUCGUCUCCUACAUCCUUUCCAGUUCCAUAAAUUGGUUCUGAAGUGCAUAUAACACGUCCAUCCUGAAGUGAACAAAGCUGCUUAAGAUUAGAAUCAGAUGUCAUAUUAUCCACUCCCUCUUACACUUGAUUGAAUGGACAUUCUGCAUCAAAAUUAAUGA